UACGUAGGCAGCGAGCGUUGUUCGGAAUUACUGGGCGUAAAGAGUGUGUAGGCGGUGCUCUAAGUUCGGUGUGAAAUCUCCCGGCUUAACUGGGAGGGUGCGCCGGAAACUGGAGUGCUCGAACGUGGGAGAGGAAAGCGGAAUUCCUGGUGUAGCGGUGAAAUGCGUAGAUAUCAGGAGGAACACCUGCGGUGUAGACGGCUUUCUGGACACAUAUUGACGCUGAGGUGCGAAAGCGUGGGGAGCAAACAGG
rnacentral:rRNA from 1 species